ACUUAAAUUGAAGAGUUUGAUCAUGGCUCAGAUUGAACGCUGGCGGCAGGCCUAACACAUGCAAGUCGAACGGUAGCACAGAGAGCUUGCUCUCGGGUGACGAGUGGCGGACGGGUG
rnacentral:rRNA from 3 species